AUCAGGUUAGCAGAUAAGAAUGUACUUGGUUUAGGUUCAAGAGGAAGGAACGAUAUCCUACCUGGUA
rnacentral:tRNA from 1 species